rnacentral:rRNA from 1 species
GACGAACCGUGCAAACGUUGUUCGGAAUCACUGGGCUUAAAGGGCGCGUAGGCGGCUUGCCAAGUCAGGGGUGAAAUCUUUCGGCUUAACCGGAAAAGUGCUUCUGAUACUGGCGAGCUUGAGGGAGAUAGGGGCAUGCGGAACUUCCGGUGGAGCGGUGAAAUGCGUUGAUAUCGGAAGGAACGCCGGUGGCGAAAGCGGCGUGCUGGAUCUCUUCUGACGCUGAGGCGCGAAAGCUAGGGGAGCAAACGG